rnacentral:lncRNA from 1 species
CGUGCUCCUGUAUCAUCCCAGCCCCCUUUGGGCUAGAUUGGGCCUCAAGACUUGUUCUGACCAAUGGUUAGAAAUAGAAAUAAGAGGUGGAACUUCUGGAUUAAGGCUGCUGGGAGCUCAGCAUGUCUUCUACCCCUCUCUUUGUGGAGGACACUUCACUCCAGGUGAUGUUGCUUCAAGAGGAAACCAUAUCAGAUUAAGGUUCUCAUUCUCAAAGAACCAGGAUGUCUUCAGCUGAUGUACUCUUGCCCUUGAGCAUCACAGUAUCAUGGGACCACUGAGGACUCAACUUGUGACCGGAGGCAAAACGGAGUUGUGUUUCUGCAUGGCAUGGCCAGCUCCUGGUAAGGAGAAAACUGGACCUUAGACUGCUAUAGUCACACUUUAAUUAUGAAAUGAUUUUGCUCCACAAUUUAUGUAGACUGGCUCCUGACAGUACUAAUAUACUUCCUGUCUCUAUAGAAUUUUAUUGCAUUGGACAUUU